UGGGGAAUAUUGCACAAUGGGCGAAAGCCUGAUGCAGCAACGCCGCGUGAACGAUGAAGGCCUUCGGGUCGUAAAGCUCUGUCCUCAAGGAAGAUAAUGACGGUACUUGAGGAGGAAGCCCCGGCUAACUACGUGCCAGCAGCCGCGGUAAUACGUAGGGGGCUAGCGUUAUCCGGAAUUACUGGGCGUAAAGGGUGCGUAGGUGGUUUCUUAAGUCAGCGGUGAAAGGCUACGGCUCAACCGUAGUAAGCCUUUGAAACUGAGAAACGUGAGUGCAGGAGAGGAGAGUAGAAUUCCUAGUGGAGCGGUGAAAUGCGUAGAUAUUAGGAGGAAUACCAGUUGCGAAGGCGGCUCUCUGGACUGUAACUGACACUGAGGCGCGAAAGCGUGGGGAGCAAACA
rnacentral:rRNA from 1 species